rnacentral:rRNA from 1 species
GUGAGAAUCUGGCAAAAGGUUCGGGACAACAGUUGGAAACGGCUGCUAAUACCGGAUGUGCCUGUGGGUGAAAGAUUAAUCGCCUUUUGAUGAGCUCGCGUCUGAUUAGCUAGUUGGUGUGGUAAGAGCGCACCAAGGCGACGAUCAGUAGCUGGUCUGAGAGGAUGACCAGCCACACUGGGACUGAGACACGGCCCAGACUCCUACGGGAGGCAGCAGUGGGGAAUUUUCCGCAAUGGGCGAAAGCCUGACGGAGCAAUACCGCGUGAGGGAGGAAGGCUCUUGGGUUGUAAACCUCUUUUCUCAGGGAAUAAGAAAGUGAAGGUACCUGAGGAAUCAGCAUCGGCUAACUCCGUGCCAGCAGCCGCGGUAAUACGGAGGAUGCAAGCGUUAUCCGGAAUGAUUGGGCGUAAAGCGUCCGCGAGGUGGUUGCUCGAAGUCUGCUGUCUAAAGAAGUCAUGGCCUACACCGAAGGAUAAAAAGCGCCCUAGGUGGGGGUA